UUCAACCAUGUACAAGAGUAACCAUUGGUAAUGCCAAAAUCUGCCUGAGCCUGGGCUACAGGGGCAGGGUGAACUUAACAGAGAAACAGGAUGGAGCCUUGCAAUUGCAGCCAGGUCCAGUGUAUGCCAGAGAUGGAGAUAAAAGCAUAAAUGAAGAGAUAAGCUAUAAAAUUGUUCGAGGAAAUGAGGACAACAUAUUUCAGAUUGAUGAGAAAUCUGGAAACAUAUCCAUGCUGAAACCAGCAGAUAUAGCUGGCCCUAUAUCUCUCUUAGUUUUGGCUUCCCAGGUAGUAAAUAGAGAUCAGUUUGCCACCACUUCAGUCACUAUUGAUGUAAUGAAAAAGAGCAGAAAUGCUCCAAGGUUUGAGAAGGACCGAUAUGAAGGGUAUGUUUACAGUAAUUCAGGGCCUGAAAACAUGGUGCUAAGGGACAGGACAUCCAACAGACCCAUCAGAGUCAGAGC
rnacentral:lncRNA from 1 species